GGGGAGAGUAGGGGUUUAGGGGAGGGGGAAGGAGAGGGGAGUGAUCCACCCACGAAGGCCGAGUUACAAGUAUAUAAGGCGUGGGCUGGGCUGGACUGGCAGACACUUGGGCUGACGGCAGUGAGCAGACAUCAGCACCAACCAUGAAGACCUACGUGUGUGUGGCUCUGGGCCUCCUGGCAGUGGCGGCUCUGGUGCACGCUGACCCUGAGCCCGAGGCCCUCGCCGAAGCCGACCCCGACGCCCACCGGCCCUACUCCUACCACUACGGCUACCCCCACUACGGCCACUACUCCUACCGCCACUACGGCUACCCGCGCUACCACCACCACCACAAGCGGUCCGCUGACCCUGAGGCCAGUGCUGACCCAGAGCCCAGCAGACACUACUACGGCCACCACCACCACACCCCCUACCACUACCACCACCACCACAAGCGCUCCGCUGACCCCGAGGCUGCCGCUGAGCCCAGCAGGCACUACUCCUACGGUCACCCCCACCACUACGGCUACUACCACCACAGGCCCCACUACUACCACAACCACCACAAGCGCUCCGCUGACCCCGAGCCCAGCGCAGAGCCCAGCAGGACCCACUACUACGGGUACGGCCACCCCGGCUACCACUACUACAGGUACCCCUACUACCGCUACGGCUACUACCACCGCCACCACUAGAGCCGAUCCCUUUCUUCACUCCACCAUGACCCUGCAACGGGCCACUCCACUUCCUUCAUCUCCUCCACUUUAUCUUCCACCUCCCCCACGACCAACCUGCUGCGGGCCGCCACCUUCUCCUCCUCCCCCCCACGGCCGCCACUUGUCUCGACGCAGCGACUCGCUUCCCCGGGGCGGCUGGCAGGAGAGGCGCCGACACCCGGACUCACGGAUAGGCCGGUCUUGCUCACGCCGGUUUUUCCCGCGUCCCCGUGUCGCCCCACCCGCCCCGGAGCACCGGUGAGGGACGCCGCUCCGCCCCGGCCCCCUCGCCCUCACGACCUUUAAAUAAAACUGCAAUGCCUUAA